rnacentral:lncRNA from 10 species
AAAAUCUUGAAUUCCCAUGUAAAAUAUCUCUCCAGGGUCACAGAAGGAGGGGAAAGGUAUCUGAGAGCUUUGUAGAGAGCGACAGCUGCAGAGGCUCAAAGUGAGGAGAAAACGCUCCAGCUGGGUUCAGGGUCUUUGUGCCAGUGAAGCUCGGACUCCAAGGAGGCAGGGUAGCAGUCCCCGAACAGUGAAAGAGAGUAGACUGCAGUCUCCACUAACUAACCACGAGGAAGGGGCUGAUGACCAAUUUUUAACCCACCAUAACCUUCUCCUCAGGACAAGAAACCUCUGUGGCACCUGAGUUCUUGUCCUGCCUCCAGGAAGAAUGAGGUCAUGAGGUACACAGACAAGUGAAGGGUGAAGAAGAUGCAGAGAAGCUUUAUUGAAUGCUAGAACAGCUCAGAGGUGAUCUGCAGUGAGCUCCUCUCUGUAGACUCUCCACCAUGGAAUCCACCACCUUCUGCACCCACAGCUGCUGUGUGACGACCCUUCACUGCCUGCCCGAAGAGUUGAUUUUUGACUGUCAUGGAGCGCCUGAUGCGUGGAUGCACCACGGUUUGUUUAUCUGCUCAUCUGUUGUGAGUAUCUGGGCUGUCUCCACCUUUCACCUAUUCUGAAUGAGGCUUCUAUGAAUAUUGAGGUACAAGGCUUUGUCAAGACAUGCAGUUCCUUUUCUCUUGGUGAAUACUUAAGAGUGGGAUGGCUGGACCAUACGUUAGGUGACUGUUUACUUUUAAAGAAACUGCCAUACAGUUUUCCAAAAUAGUUUUUACAUUUUUACACUCUUUUACAUUCCUAUCAGCAGGGUGUGAGUUUCAGUUUCUGCACAUUGUGGCCAACACUGGGUAUGAUCAUUCUGUGUAAUUUUAUUACCACUCCAAUAGGUAGGAAUGGUAUCUCAUUGUUUUAAUUUGAAUUGUCUCAAUUACUAUGAUGUUGAGUAUCUUUUCAUGUGCCUGUCAUCUGUGUAGCUUCUUUGCUCACAGAUGUAAUUUUUUCCUGCAUCUAUUGAAAUGAUCGUAUAGUUUUCUUUUUCAGUUUGUUAAUGUGGUUAAUUAAACUGGUUGAUAUUUGAAUAUUAAGCCACAUAUGAGAAAAAACAUAUUUAGUAGUGAUGUAUUAUUCUUUGAAUGUAUUGCUGGAUUCAGUUUGCUAAAAUUUUAAUUAGAAUAUUUGUGUCUAAGUUCAUGGGGGAUAUGGACGUGUAGUUUUCCUUUCUUUUCUUGUAAUGUCCUUGUCUGGUUUUGGUAUGAAAGUAAUGCGGGCUCUAUAGAAUGCAAUGGAAGUGCCACCUUCCCUCUGGCUCUGGCACAGAGCAGGUGCCUGUUUCAUGGGUGAUUUGAAGUAGGGAACAAUAAAUUCAUGU